UUUAAAUGGCCGCAGUAUAUUAACUGUGCAAAGGUAGCAUAAUCAUUAGUCUUUUAAUUGAAGGCUGGUAUGAAUGGUUGGAUGAGAUAUUAACUGUUUCAUAAAAAUUUAUAUUAGAAUUUUAUUUUUUAGUCAAAAAGCUAAAAUUUAUUUAAAAGACGAGAAGACCCUAUAAAUCUUUAUAUUUAAUUUAUUAUAAUUAAAUAGAUUUUUUUUGUUAUAAUAAUAAAUAAUAUUUUAUUGGGGUGAUAUUAAAAUUUAAUAAACUUUUAAUUAUUUAAAUCAUUAAUUUAUGAUUAAUUGAUCCGUUAUUAACGAUUAAAAAAAUAAGUUACUUUAGGGAUAACAGCGUAAUUUUUUUGGAGAGUUCAUAUUGAUAAAAAAGAUUGCGACCUCGAUGUUGGAUUAAGAUAUAAUUUUAGGUGUAGUUGCUUAAAUUUUAAGUCUGUUCGACUUUUAA
rnacentral:rRNA from 1 species